UACGUAGGGGGCAAGCGUUGUCCGGAUUUAUUGGGCGUAAAGAGCGUGUAGGCGGCUGGGUAGGUCCGUUGUGAAAACUCGAGGCUCAACCUCGAGACGCCGAUGGAAACCCUCCAGCUAGAGUCCGGAAGAGGAGAGUGGAAUUCCUGGUGUAGCGGUGAAAUGCGCAGAUAUCAGGAGGAACACCAAUGGCGAAGGCAGCACUCUGGGACGGUACUGACGCUGAGACGCGAAAGCGUGGGGAGCAAACAGG
rnacentral:rRNA from 1 species